GGAGGAAGCAGGAAUUCGAGAGUGAACGGAACAAACAAGGCGGAUCAUGUGAAUGGAACGUCAACAGGGAAUCCACAAUAGGGAGUGAUCAUUUUCCAGUAAGUACUAUAAUUAAUGAUAAUAUAAAGAGGCAAGAAGAUGUCAUAAUCACAAGAUGGUGUUUUAAUAAAGCUGAUUGGAAAAAAUUUAAAGUAAAGUGUGAGGAAAGCAGACAUUUGGUUACAUUAAAAGGUAACAUAGAAGAGUGUACAAGCCAGAUAACAAAACAUAUUUUAAAUGCUGCAAAUUCAAGUAUACCAAAAACAAUAAUAAAAGGAAGGAAAAAAGUAGUCCCUUGGUGGAAUGAUGAAUGUACUAAAGCGAUUAAAGAUCGUAACAGGGCAUUUAAAAUACUGCAGAAAAAUUUAACACUUGAAACUCUUAUUAAUUAUAAAAAGAAAAGAGCAGUAGCUCGAAAAA